rnacentral:lncRNA from 1 species
GUCAGAUUCCAACCCAGAGGAAGCACACAGCCCACAUUUCCUGCUCUCCAAGUGCCGGGCGCCUCUCUCCUCCUGAUGAGUCACCACCGCCUAGCCAGUGGCACUCCAGUCCCCGCUCACCUUCCCACGUCCCCAGGGGACUGGCACACACAAAGGCUGUGGCCGUGUCCUCCUGUGGCGUGGGGGCUGGAGGUGUGGCUUCCCCCGGGGCCUGCUCGGUGCCUGCCUCUGCAGAGGACCUUUGCAGCAGGCACGUAUUCAAGACGCAGCUGGGGACGAUGCCCUGCCGCUCCGGGCACAGCCAGCAGCCCCCCCAGACGCAGGACGCGCAGGACACAUUGAACUGAGUUUCCACCGCUCUGCUCUGUGCUUUCCAGAGAGCUCGCACAUCACAUCCACGACGGGACCAUCAGUGAGCACGGCCACCAGGGGAUCACGGGCAUCCCAAUACCCAAAGGCCAGGCUGGCUUCUCGCCACCCUUAGCUCAGGGCCUCUGGUGACUUUCGGGGGCAAUGGAGUCCUCGGUCUCUUCCGCUGAUGACCAGAGACAGAGCAGAGAAGCCCCGCCGGGUGGAUUUGACGUGGCUGUUGCCUGGGCCCUGACCUCUCAAAAGACCCUUCAAGGUUCUGUGGGUCUCCUCUGGGUGAACCCCUUCUUUGGCCAGGUUGCCUUUCCAUAUGGCCGAGAAGGACAAGGUGCCACCCUGGACUUUGCAGCUGCCUUAAUCCAAGAACACGUUAAGUGUCUGGCUCGUGGUCAGAAGGCCUGGGUCCAGGUCCUGAUGCAGAUGACAGCCACCUCUGGGGACUUCUGCUUCCUUAUCAAAGACAAAUGGAGCCGGUCCAUCGAGGCUCCAAGGAGGAAGUACCCCACACCCAGCACCUGUACUUUGUCUCCCAGCCCCUCUUCUGUCCUUGACAACAACUUCCAGCCAAGCCCUCAGUGCCCCCCUGCCGCCUGACCAGGAUUCCCCGAGACCCCCCCAGCCCAGAUAGAGCAUCAUGUUUGGAAACUUCCUAGUCACCCCAUCCAUCGUCUCUGACACCUGCACUGAGUCCCACCCUGAGAAAGUGAUCUGGUGGCUACUUUACACUAAGGUGUGAAUGGCUGCUGCCAGCGGUUAGAGUUACAGAGUGCUGCGGUUGUUAAAUGAGUCCACCCUCCCCAGUUACAGCUGAGGAAACUGGGUCCCGAAUACAAUCGCCGUUGUCCCAAGUCACACGACUGUCUGAAGCUGAACUCAGUCAAAAAAAUCUCUCCUCGCCCCCACGGGAACCACUUCAGCAAGGUUUUCCUGCCUGUGUAAUACAUCCUCCAACCGAGUCUCUCUUGUUUGAGGAGAGGACAAAGCCCUCUCAAGAAUGCACUUUGGAUGGGACCUCCCAGGGUCAGGGAGGGCCACAGGAACCCUGUGGGGGGGUUCCCCUCUGAGUCCCCCACUCCACCUUGAGAUAAACUCUCGGGGGUUCGCAACUUUUUCCUAACCUGCCACUUAAGCGCAAGAUGGGGAGCUGCUCCUUUCUCACCAAAUGACAGACAGACAGACAUCUCCACCCCGCCACCAGCAGCAGCAGCAGCCUCCAGGUCGGGACGGAAACCGGCUUGGAACCCAACAUCCCGGUUCCUGACGCCAGCCAAAAAAGUCACCAUGCAGAGCCCAGGAAGACCGGAGGGUCCCCAAGAGCUGACAGCUGCAGAGCCCCUCGUGGGAAUGACGAGAAUGUGGAGCUCGGGGCCCGAGCCCUCCCCUCUGCACGCAUGUGGUCCACACGUGUCUGCAGUGGGCUCUGCCCACGGCUGUUGAGCAAACACAUCUUAAGAGCUCACUUUUUUUUUUAAACUGGAAACCGUCAUUAAUAACCUGAUUUUUAUCUUUAUAGAGCUUUGGGCCCAAAGGUAUCAGGCUUCCCUAUUCUCACAUUUCAGUCAAGCGCCUGACAUGAUGUUUAAUCUUCACACAUCAAAGGCAAGGCCUCCGCUACACCGGCUGCUGCUGUCACCAGCGACCAGCUCCAUCUGCGCUCAGGGGGGGACUGCGGCUCCCAGAAGCUCCCAGACGGGGAGUCCACCCUCUUCCCACCUCCAGGCUCCAAGACACUUCAAAGCCGUUUCCCAAACAACAACAAUAAUAAUUAAAUAGAGGAAUAAGAAGUCGGGGGCAGGAGAACAAAGGUAAAGCUGUUUUGUUUUCUCAAAUGUUUCCCUUGAUUUAAAUUUGGGGAGUCAUAGCCCAUGCACCUUGGAAUGUCCACCUAUGAAAGUAGCCAGGCACUCAGCUCUCCUAAUAAAAGUUGAC